rnacentral:rRNA from 1 species
UGGGGAAUUUUGGACAAUGGGCGAAAGCCUGAUCCAGCAAUGCCGCGUGUGUGAAGAAGGCCUUCGGGUUGUAAAGCACUUUUGUCCGGAAAGAAAUGGCUCUGGUUAAUACCUGGGGUCGAUGACGGUACCGGAAGAAUAAGGACCGGCUAACUACGUGCCAGCAGCCGCGGUCAUACGUAGGGUCCAAGCGUUAAUCGGGAUUACUGGGCGUAAAGCGUGCGCCGGCGGUUGUUCAAGACCGAUGUGAAAUCCCCGGGCUUAACUUGGGAAUUUGCUUGGUGACUGCACGGCUAGGGUGGGUCAGAGGGGGGUAGAAUUCCACGUGUAGCAGUGAAAGGCGUAGAGAUGUGGAGGAAUACCGGUGGCGAAGGCAGCCCCCUGGGAUAUCACUGACGCUCAUGCACGAAAGCGUGGGGAGCAAACAGG